GGGGAAUAUUGCGCAAUGGGGGAAACCCUGACGCAGCAACGCCGCGUGCGGGAUGAAGUCCUUCGGGUUGUAAACCGCUUUCAGCAGGGACGAAGGGCUCCUGACGUUACCUGCCGAAGACGCACCGCCUAACUCCGUGCCAGCAGCAGCGGUGAUACGUAGGGUGCGAGCGUUGUCCGGAAUUAUUGGGCGUAAAGAGCUUGUAGGCGGUCCGUCACGUCGGAAGUGAAAACUCAGGGCUUAACCCUGAGCCUGCUUUCGAUACGGGCAGACUUGAGGGAUGUAGGGGAGAACGGAAUUCCUGGUGGAGCGGUGGAAUGCGCAGAUAUCAGGAGGAACACCAGUGGCGAAGGCGGUUCUCUGGACAUUUCCUGACGCUGAGAAGCGAAAGCGUGGGAGCAAACA
rnacentral:rRNA from 1 species